rnacentral:rRNA from 1 species
AUUGAACGCUGGCGGCAGGCCUAACACAUGCAAGUCGAGCGGCUGCAGGGAGCUUGCUCCUGGAUUCAGCGGCGGACGGGUGUGUAAUGCCUAUGAAUCUGCCUGGUAGUGGGGGGUAACGUCCGGCAACAGGCGCUAAUACCGCAUACGUCCUGAGGGAGAAAGUGGGGGAUCUUCGGACCUCACGCUAUCAGAUGAUCCUAGGUCGGAUUAGCUAGUUGGUGGGGUAAAGGCCUACCAAGGCGACGAUCCGUAACUGGUCUGAGAGGAUGAUCAGUCACACUGGAACUGAGACACGGUCCAGACUCCUACGGGAGGCAGCAGUGGGGAAUAUUGGACAAUGGGCGAAAGCCUGAUCCAGCCAUGCCGCGUGUGUGAAGAAGGUCUUCGGAUUGUAAAGCACUUUAAGUUGGGAGGAAGGGCAGUAAGUUAAUACCUUGCUGUUUUGACGGUACCAAAAGAAUAAGCACCGGCUAACUUCGUG